ACCUGGCUGGAUCAGCUGGUAGAGCAUGGGACUUUUGAUCUUAGGGUUGUGAGUUCAAGCCCCACGUUGAGUA
rnacentral:tRNA from 1 species